rnacentral:miRNA from 1 species
UAGGGUGGUCAGCCUUCCUGGUUUGCCUGAGACUGAGGGGUUUCCUGGGAUGUGGGACUUGCUAAAACCUGGGAAG